rfam:Canis lupus familiaris chromosome X, whole genome shotgun sequence.
AGGAGGAACAACCACAGUGGCGGCGGCGAUCUCUGGAGCCCUGGAUUCAGCUCCCGCAGUAACUACGGAGCUCUCUGCAGGGCCUGGAGGCUCCGGGGCGGG